rnacentral:rRNA from 1 species
AUUGAACGCUGGCGGCAGGCUUAACACAUGCAAGUCGAGCGGAGAUGAGGUGCUUGCACCUUAUCUUAGCGGCGGACGGGUGAGUAAUGCUUAGGAAUCUGCCUAUUAGUGGGGGACAACAUUCCGAAAGGAAUGCUAAUACCGCAUACGUCCUACGGGAGAAAGCAGGGGAUCUUCGGACCUUGCGCUAAUAGAUGAGCCUAAGUCGGAUUAGCUAGUUGGUGGGGUAAAGGCCUACCAAGGCGACGAUCUGUAGCGGGGCUGUGAGGAUGUUCCGCCACACUGGGACUAAGUCACGGCCCAGACUCCUGCGGGAGGCAGCAGUGGGGAAUAUUGGACAAUGGGGGGAACCCGGAUCCAGCCAUGCCGCGUGUGUGAAGAAGGCCUUAUGGUUGUAAAGCACUUUAAGCGAGGAGGAGGCUACUGAGACUAAUACUCUUGGAUAGUGGACGUUACUCGCAGAAUAAGCACCGGCUAACUCUGUGCCAGCCGCCGCCGUAAAAC